GGUGAGAUGUCUGAGAGGCUUAAAGAACAUGCCUGGAAAGCGUGUAUACGUUAAUAACGUAUCGAGGGUUCGAAUCCCUCUCUCACCG
rnacentral:tRNA from 1 species